rnacentral:lncRNA from 1 species
GUAAAGGGCUACCAGGAUCGUGGGAGAAGGAAGGACAGAGGUAUUUCUUUUAGAGGGAACACAAGAUCAAAAUCUAGAAAUCAAAAUAAGAAAAACGUAAAGUGCUACAAAUGCCAUCAGAUGGGCCACUUUAAGAGAGACUGUCCUAAUAAGAAGCAGAAUGAUGAAAGGAAAGGUGAUGGGUCCUCAAACUCAGCUAGUGUUGCAGAAGGAGACUCGGAUUCUGGAGAUGGAGAUUUGUUAUCAGUCUCUGUAGGUAAUUCUGUAAAAUUAAAUGACUGUUGGGUACUUGAUUCAGCCUGUUCAUAUCACAUGUGUCCUCACCGGGAUUGGUUUCAUUCAUAUCGUUCUGGAAAUUUUGGAUCUGUUCUGACGGGUAAUGAUGCAUCAUGUAAGGUCAUUGGAAUGGGGUCCAUAAAAUUUAAAAUGUUCGAUGGUGUGAUAAGGACCUUGGAAAAUGUUAGGCAUGUACCUGAGUUGAAAAUGAAUCUAAUUUCUUUAGGCACUUUAGACACAAAUGGUUACUCUUAUAAGUCAGAGUGUGGGGCUCUAACAGUGAAGAAAGGGGCUAUGAUUGUGAUGAAGGGUCAGAAAUUAGUAGGGAAUAUCUACAAACUACUUGGGGAUACAGU